rnacentral:sRNA from 1 species
ACAAAAAAAAACACAACACAAAUGCAGCAUUGACAGGAACAAUGGCUGGAACAUAUCUAGUCUUCAACAGAACAUCACCAGCAGUAUGAGUAGCAGAUCUACAAGGAAGUCCAAGUUGAAACAAGUCAAGAGGUUGCUGACCGCGCCCUCUGAAACCAUUUACAGGUCUUGUUUGUUUGCCCGCUUCUUGAUUCUUAGGAUGGUGGACCUGAUGUCUACACAGAAGAUGCUUUUGAGUUUACUUUGCUAUUUGGUCUUCUACGUCCUGCUGAUUGUUCUUCUGGUCGGACUUAUUGCCCCUUUUAAAGACCCGCCGACAUCUCUAUAAACACUGGCGUUUGACUAGACUAAUGAUGCUUCAGAAAUUACGUAUUGGCCUUGAUAUAGAGCAAGAAUUUGUUGAACCAAAGAUUAUCUACUCGCCUUUGAUUGGACCAAAAAGACCAAUCGACAUUAAAUUUACCAAGGUGAACUGAUGGAAAUAAUGCAAAGUAACAAAGACUCAAUGCCUUCAAAGAUUUUCGAAAGUUAGACAACUGUCUCUAUAGCACAUAACGAUACUACAUUACUAUUACCUCAGUUAUUGCCCUUGUGUUCAGCCAUGAUUGAUGUGAUAAGAUGAGAACGAAAUGAUAUAUAUAUUUUCUGUUAGUUGUGAAAUGUUUGUAAUAAUAAACUUUAGAAAAUUCUU